CCAAAAAUCACUCGACACAGGAAAAAUCCCAAAAGAUUGGAAACAUGAAAACGUCUGUCCUGUUUUUAAAAAAGGUGAUAAACACAACGCAAUAAACUAUAGACCCAUAUCUCUCACAUGCAUACUUUGUAAGAUCAUGGAACACAUCAUAGCCAGUAGUAUGAUGGACCACAUAGAAAAAAACAAAAUCUUGUACGACCUUCAACACGGAUUUCGAGCAUCUAGAUCAUGUGAAACCCAACUAGUAUCAUUCAUCCAAGAACUAGCAAAAAAUAACAAC
rnacentral:lncRNA from 1 species